rnacentral:rRNA from 1 species
AUUGAACGCUGGCGGAAUGCCUUACACAUGCAAGUCGAACGGCAGCACGGGAGCAAUCCUGGUGGCGAGUGGCGAACGGGUGAGUAAUACAUCGGAACGUGCCCAAUCGUGGGGGAUAACGUAGCGAAAGCUACGCUAAUACCGCAUACGAUCUACGGAUGAAAGCAGGGGACUCGCAAGAGCCUUGCGCGAAUGGAGCGGCCGAUGGCAGAUUAGGAGUUGGUGGGGUAAAGGCUCACCAAGCCUUCGAUCUGUAGCUGGUCUGAGAGGACGACCAGCCACACUGGGACUGAGACACGGCCCAGACUCCUACGGGAGGCAGCAGUGGGGAAUUUUGGACAAUGGGCGCAAGCCUGAUCCAGCCAUUCCGCGUGCA